CGAGUUUGAUCCUGGCUCAGGAUGAACGCUGGCGGCGUGCCUAAUGCAUGCAAGUCGGACGAGGUAGGGGUAACUCUACCUAGUGGCAGACGGGUGAGUAACGCGUAAGUACCUACCGCUGGGUAAGGAAUAACUCCGGGAAACCGGGGCUAAUACCAGAUACGCUCGAGAGAGGAAAGCCGCAAGGUGCCCGGCUAGGGGCUUGCGUCCCAUCAGCUAGUUGGUGAGGUAAUGGCUCACCAAGGCGGAGACGGGUAGCUGGUCUGAGAGAUGAUCAGCCACACGGGGACUGAGACACGGCCCCGACUCCUACGGGAGGCAGCAGCAAGGGAUCUUGCGCAAUGGGCGAAAGCCUGACGCAGCGACGCCGCGUGGGGGAAGAAGGCCUUCGGGUUGUAAACCUCUUUUGCUAGGGGCGAGGAAGGACGGUACCUAGCGAAUAAGCCUCGGCUAACUACGUGCCAGCAGCCGCGGUAAGACGUAGGAGGCUAGCGUUAUCCGGAUUUACUGGGCGUAAAGCGCGCGCGGGCGGUUGACCAAGUCGGUGGUGAAAGUCCUCUGGCUUAACCGGGGAUAGUCUACCGAUACUGAUUGACUUGAGGGCAGCAGGGGGGAGCGGAAUUCCCGGUGUAGUGGUGAAAUACGUAGAUAUCGGGAGGAACACCAGUGGCGAAGGCGGCUUUCUGGGCUGCCCCUGACGCUGAGGCGCGAAAGCGUGGGGAGCGAACCGGAUUAGAUACCCGGGUAGUCCACGCUCUAAACGAUGGACACUAGGUAUGGGGGGUAUCGACCCCCUCCGUGCCGAAGCCAACGCUUUAAGUGUCCCGCCUGGGGAGUACGGUCGCAAGGCUAAAACUCAAAGGAAUUGACGGGGGCCCGCACAAGCAGCGGAGCGUGUGGUUUAAUUCGAUGCAACGCGAAGAACCUUACCAGGCCUUGACAUGCCUUGGGAGGCUCUAGAAAUAGGGCUGUCCUUCGGGACUGAGGCACAGAUGCUGCAUGGCUGUCGUCAGCUCGUGCCGUGAGGUGUUGGGUUAAGUCCCGCAACGAGCGCAACCCCCGUUGCCAGUUACAUUAUCUGGCGAGACUGCCCCGCGAAACGGGGAGGAAGGUGGGGAUGACGUCAAGUCAGCACGGCUCUUACGGCCUGGGCUACACACACGCUACAAUGGGCGGUACAGAGGGUAGCGAGAGGGUGACCUGGAGCUAAUCCCUGAAAAACCGUCCUCAGUUCGGAUCGGAGGCUGAAACCCGCCUUCGUGAAGUCGGAGUUGCUAGUAACUGCCGGUCAGCACACGGC
rnacentral:rRNA from 1 species